CGAAAAAUAAGAAAGAGUGUGAUGCACAAAGUCGUAACAAGGUCUCCGUUGGUGAACCAGCGGAGGGAUCAUUA
rnacentral:rRNA from 1 species